rnacentral:lncRNA from 1 species
AUGAAACUAGAUACAGAUAUGAUUUUUUAAGGCAGUAGUAGAAAGAACAUAGAAUACAUACUUUCUAUGUAAGAUUUACAUGAAGAACCAUAAUUCUCAAUUGAUUUUCGAUUUCUCUACCAUCUGAUUGUACACAUAAUUCUUAUCAUUCAGCAAAAGUAAAAGAAAAUGUCUGAUUUUUCAUAACAUUAAGAAAAGAAAAAGCGUUAUAGCACUUUUGUUUUGAGUUUGAUAGAAAAAAUAUCAAAAGUUCCUCUGAACUACAUGCUAUAGUAACUAAGCUUC